rnacentral:rRNA from 1 species
GAUGAACGCUGGCGGCGUGCUUAACACAUGCAAGUCGAACGGAAAGGCCAGUGCUUGCACUGGUACUCGAGUGGCGAACGGGUGAGUAACACGUGGGUGAUCUGCCCUGCACUUCGGGAUAAGCCUGGGAAACUGGGUCUAAUACCGGAUAGGACAAUGGUUUGGAUGCCGUUGUGGAAAGUUUUUUCGGUGUGGGAUGAGCUCGCGGCCUAUCAGCUUGUUGGUGGGGUAAUGGCCUACCAAGGCGUCGACGGGUAGCCGGCCUGAGAGGGUGUACGGCCACAGUGGGACUGAGAUACGGCACAGACUCCUACGGGGGGCAGCAGUGGGGAAUAUUGCACAAUGGGCGCAAGCCUGAUGCAGCGACGACGCGUGGGGGAUGACGGCCUUCGGGUUGUAAACUCCUUUCGCUAGGGACGAAGCGUAUUUGUGACGGUACCUGGAGAAGAAGCACCGGCUAACUACGUG